rnacentral:rRNA from 1 species
AUGGGCUUCAACGUACCCAUGGAGUUCCUGCCAAUGCCGGCCAACGGGCAAGGGCGAUCAGGGUGCAGAAGGGGGCCGUACUGUGGGGCCAACAUCACGUCACAGUGUCCGAGCGAGCUCAAGGCGCCGGGAGGCUGCAACAGCGCAUGUAACGCGCUUCAAAACCAGUCCAGUUUGUACUGCUGCUAUGGAAGACACUGUGAAUCCAACAAAUAUUCGGCCUUUUUUGUGCGGAUGUGCCCGGAAGCAUUAAGCUUCUCCAGCGAUGCUCCGUCACAAACUGCAUUCAGUUGUCCAUGGGAUACCAACUACCAGGUCAUCUUCUGCCCACCGAUCAAUCCAACGUCUUCACCUCCAAGUCAUCCUAACAAAUCUGGUUUUAGGCCAGCAAGCACAGAACCAUCAUCUAGGAAAGUAAGAACUGUUGUUUUGAUUGCAAUUACUGGUCCCAUAGUUUUUGUUCUCGCAUUGAUCUUUUUCGUCGUAUAUCGGAGAAGAACACGACGGCACCAUGAGAUGGAGGAAGAUGAGGCAGAGUUCGGUCAACUACAAGGAACACCAAUGAGGUUUACGUUUCAACAGUUAGAAGCAGCAACAGAGCAAUUCAAGGACAAGCUCGGGGAAGGAGGAUUUGGGUCUGUUUUCGAGGGACAGCUAGGCGAGGAAAGGAUUGCGGUAAAACGUUUGGAUCGAGCUGGUCAGGGGAAGAAAGAAUUCUUGGCGGAGGUUCAGACAAUUGGCAGCAUUCAUCAUAUCAAUCUGGUCAGGCUGUUUGGUUUCUGUGCAGAGAAAUCCCAUAGGCUCUUGGUUUAUGAGUAUAUGCCAAAAGGAUCCUUGGACAGGUGGAUCUAUGGUCGACAUGAAAAUAGUGCUCCUCCGUUAGAAUGGAAGGUACGAUGCAAGAUUAUCACUGACAUAGCUAAGGGUCUGUCUUAUCUCCACGAGGAUUGCAUGAAGAGAAUUGCUCAUUUGGAUGUCAAGCCACAAAAUAUCCUCUUAGAUGAUGACUUCAAUGCUAAACUUUCCGAUUUUGGUCUAUGCAAGCUCAUUGAUAGGGACAUGAGUCAAGUGGUUACAAGAAUGAGAGGCACACCUGGUUAUCUAGCCCCUGAAUGGUUGACAUCACAAAUCACGGAGAAGGCCGAUGUCUAUAGCUUUGGCGUUGUGGUCAUGGAAAUCGUGAGCGGAAGAAAGAACCUCGACACUUCCCUGCCUGAAGAGAGCGUCCAUCUUAUUACCCUAUUGGAAGAAAAGGUGAAGAACAAUCACUUGGAAGAUUUGAUUGACAAGAGCAGCAACGACAUGCAAGCACACGAGCGAGAUGUGAUUCAGAUGAUGAAGCUCGCGAUGUGGUGUUUGCAGAUUGACUGCAAAGGAAGGCCUAAAAUGUCCGAGGUAGUCAAAGUCUUGGAAGGUACCAUAGAUGCAGAGAGCAACAUAGAUCAUAACUUUGUCGCAACAAAUGAACCAAAUUUUGGUAUUGCUGGAAAUGUGAACUCUUCAGCUCCACCUGUAGCCUCAGAUGUAUCGGGUCCAAGGUGA